UACAGAGGGUGCAAGCGUUAAUCGGAAUUGCUGGGCGUAAAGCGUGCGUAGACGGUUAUGUAAGUCAGAUGUGAAAGCCCCGGGCUCAACCUGGGAAUUGCAUUUGAGACUGCAUAGCUAGGGUGCGGAAGAGGGAAGCGGAAUUUCCGGUGUAGCGGUGAAAUGCGUAGAUAUCGGAAGGAACACCAGUGGCGAAAGCGGCUUCCUGGUCCAGCACCGACGUCAGGCACGAAAGCGUGGGGAGCAAGACGAUGAUG
rnacentral:rRNA from 1 species